GUCCUUCGUAUCGGGACCUCCAUCGCGGUAGGCUCCGACGCCUCAACCCUAUUCUGGUUCGACAGAUGGCCAGGUGACCUUGCCUUCGAGGCGCAUUUCCCGGACCUGUUCUCCGCCGCGAUAGAGCCUAGGAUCUCCGUCGAGGUGGCCCUUAUUGACUUAGGGCGCCUUGCUUUCCGUCGGCCGUUUGGCCCCAAAGAGCUUGAUGCUUGGCACGAGCUCCUUGAGUGUAUUACGCUCCAGGAACCAAAUGUUGACCAACAAGUCGACCGCAUCUCCUGGCGCCUGGAGCCUUCAGGUCGGUUCUCCACGAAAUCGCUUUACCAGGCUAUCGCGGCAGUUCCGGGCCCAGAACCCCUCGCGGCGAUCUGGACGGUUAGACUGCCCUUGAAGAUCAAGACCUUCCUCCGGCAAUGGAUCCGCGGCCGGGUACCUUCAGGGGUGGAGGUACUUAAGCGGAAUCACCCGGGUGAUGGAAUGUGCCCAUUGUGUGCGACGGUAGAGGACUCCAACCACAUCUUCUUCACCUGCAGUGUCGCGCAUUUCUUGUGGAUCUGCUUCCGGGAGGCGGUCGGUGGAAGUUGGUGCCACACUAAUUUCCCCGACCUAUUCGCGGAACUCAUCGCCUCACCGAUGCGGCUCCGCCACAUUAGGUGGCUGGGCACUGGGGUGCUCGCCUGA
rnacentral:rRNA from 1 species